UACAGAGGGGGCAAGCGUUGUUCGGAAUUACUGGGCGUAAAGGGCGCGUAGGCGGCCUUCUAAGUCGAACGUGAAAUCCCCGGGCUCAACCCGGGAACUGCGUCCGAUACUGGAAGGCUUGAAUCCGGGAGAGGGAUGCGGAAUUCCAGGUGUAGCGGUGAAAUGCGUAGAUAUCUGGAGGAACACCGGUGGCGAAGGCGGCUCUCUGGUCCGAAACUGACGCUGAGGUGCGAAAGCUAGGGUAGCAAACAGG
rnacentral:rRNA from 1 species